UCACUCUCUCCCUCCGCUCCCUCCCACUUUUGUCUGUUGCUGUCUCUGAUGCUUACUCUUUCGUUUCUUCUUAUCAUUUGUAUCUCUUUCCUUCUUUCUGUUUUUUCUUUCUCUCUUUCUUUUCCUCCAGCUCUCUUUAUCUCGUAUUCCUCUGUCCUCCUUGACCUCUUUGGCUCCCUCUGAGCAUUAAUGGCUUUUUAACUGGAUUCAUUGUUUGCAGACCGUUGGUUUUCAAACCACAACAACUCAGGUGUGUGUGGGCGCACGUAUACAGAGUACAAGUAGAUGAAGUCUUCAGGGUUCAGCUACAGAUGUGAAUCUCAAAGGGCUAUGGUAAAAGUGCCAGGUGUGAGAAUAACAUGAGCAAGGCUAACGACAGAGACACAGGUGAGUGUGAUCACAAUAAUCAAGUGAACAGACAGGCCGGAGACGCAGACAAUGGAACCUGGAGUGUGGUUUCAAAUCCAAGCAUUGCUGCUUAGCCUGUUAGCCUGGCUAGUAGUCCCUCUAGAAAGAAUUUUUAAAUACAAAAAUAUAACAUCAGCUGUAUUUGCAAUGCUCUACUGAAGUAUUAUUUUAGUUUUCCUACACAAGAAAAUUCAAAAGGUCGUAAAAGAAGGACAAGGAUUUAAACCCACAUCAUGGGCACCCCAGUCUGAGACCUUAAAGGUUGAUGUUGUAAAGCAUAACAAUGACAUCAUCAAAUGGAUAUUCAAUGUUGAACUAUACAUUCUUUCCAAUAAACUACCUACUCGCCAACAUAUUGAUCCAUCCAUCUUUAUAUUGUUAUUGAGUUUUGGCCAGAGGAAAAUGAUUUUAAUCAGAGUUUUAAAUGAAUGUAGAAUAGUGUUGGCCUCAUUUAUGUUUAAGACAAUGCAUUUCCUCAGCUAAAAUAAAAAAACUAAUGAGAUUGUUUGUUGGUAGAGGGAGUUACAGUCCCUGUAGAUCAGCUCAAUUUACUUAGUGCACAUUGAAAUGCAGAAAAAGGCCACUAGAGGAUGUUAAUUAAGACACACUCUCAGAAUAAACCCUUUACUUCCAGGACACAGUCUCCAGAGGCAGCAGCAGCAGAUACUGGUGAAUCCGAUGUGCAGUAUGGGGGCCAAUUAUCAGACGCUUUUGCUGGUUGUUGCUGAGAGCAUACAAUUUAAACUGUGGACAGGAGCCCACACCUCGGCCCAGCAUGAGCCAAUAUGACAGAAGCAGUAUUCUUCUUUUAAUCCUGCUUUUAAUUUCCCAUGUGAUCAGUGAUCAUUGUAGACUGUUGACUGCUGUAGGGACUAGUGCCAAGAACUUGGGACGGUUUCACUAAUUGUAUGUUUUCCAUUGCAGUUUACAAACAACAAACCAAGUGGAUUUACUGCGACUGUUUGGGAUGUUGACUGACUCAGUUGUUGUACGGUGUUAGCAAAUAGAGGAAAUAUCCAGGAAUGAACGUACAUGGUGCAGCAUAUACCUUUGAUUGGUCUCCGGGGCUGAGUCCUGACCUGGGUCU